CCUGGGACCCAGACACCCUCAUCCCAGGAGUUGGUGACAUUCAAGGAUGUGGCUGUGGAAUUCACCAAGGAGGAGUGGCACCUCUUGGACCAUUCUCAGAAAGAGUUGUACAAGGAGGUCAUGCUGGAGAAUGCCCAGAACCUGCUCUCUGUGGGUGGACUGACCAAGUUUGAAGUGAAGGAGAUGGCUACAAAGGUG